AUGUCUCUCCUGUCUCACUUCUGCUCGCGAUUUCGUCCAUCUUCACUCUCACUUCUCGUGAACUACACGACGACCUCCAGUGAUCUACGCUCUCUUUUUGCCACGCUUCUUUAUAGAACUCAAAAUUCAAAGAAAAAACAAGAAAAAAGAUUAGGAUACAGGAUUUACCGAAUGGAGUUUGUCUGGUGCAACUUCACGACGAGGACGAUGAUAACAACAACAGAGCACAAGCUUCUUUAA